rnacentral:rRNA from 1 species
GACGAACGCUGGCGGCGUGCCUAAUACAUGCAAGUCGAACGAAAGGGAGCGGUGCUUGCUCUGGUCAAGUUAGCGGCGAACGGGUGAGUAACACGUGGAUAACCUGCCUAUCAGAGGGGGAUAACAUCCGGAAACGGAUGCUAAAACCGGAUAAUAUUUCGAACCGCAUGGUUCGAAAGUGAAAGAAGGCUUUGGCUUCUGUUAUAGGAGGAACCCGCGCGGCAUUGGCUAGUUGGAAAGGUAACGGCUAACAAAGGCAGGGAUGCGUAGCCGACCUGAGAGGGUGAUCGGCCACACUGGAACUGAGACACGGUCCAGACUCCUACGGGAGGCAGCAGUAGGGAAUCUUCCGCAAUGGACGAAAGCCUGACGGAGCAACGCCGCGUGAGUGAUGAAGGUCUUCGGAUCGUAAAACUCUGUUAUUAGGGAAGAACAAGUGUGUGAGUAACUAUGAGCGUCUUGACGGUACCUAAUCAGAAAGCCACGGCUAACUACGUG